rnacentral:lncRNA from 1 species
AUGAUUAGGAUUAAUCAUGGAGUGGUGGGUCCAUGUAAUCCAAAUUUUCCUCAGCAGUGUAUAUAACUCGUGUGUCCAAACGAGACAGCUGAUGCAUGCUUCUGCACCGUCUGAUCGAUGGGAUCGCGCAAGAUAAUCGAUCAGAUCACAGCAGGAUGACGAGUCCGAAUCUAAAAGCGAGACGCAGACCGUCGCGCUCGCACCGAGAUCCCACGCCUUUCGAUCGCCCCG